UACGUAGGGGGCAAGCGUUGUUCGGAAUUACUGGGCGUGAAGGGCGCGUAGGCGGCAUGGCAAGUCAGGAGUGAAAGCCCGGGGCUCAACCCCGGAACGUCUUUUGAAACUGCCAAGCUAGAGUGCGGAAGAGGCAACUGGAAUUCCCAGUGUAGCGGUGAAAUGCGUAGAUAUUGGGAAGAACACCUGAGGCGAAGGCGGGUUGCUGGGCCGACACUGACGCUGAGGCGCGAAAGCCAGGGGAGCGAACGGG
rnacentral:rRNA from 1 species